CUCCAGGAGCUUGCUCAGCUGGGUCCAUCCUGUGGACAAGCCCGAGCGGCAGCGGUAGCGGCCCUGGGUGUCACCCGUCAGCAGGAACUGGUGCUUGAUGGCAGGUGACACCUGCGGAGACAGCCCCCGUAAGGCUCCUGUUCCCGCCCCCUCCCGCCCCAGGGACCCAGACCCCAGGAGGCCUCACCCCACAGCAAGAGAAAGACCACGAGCAUGGACAUGAUGGUCGCGCUCACUCCGGUGCAGUGAGUGUCUGGGUGAUGGAUCCUAGAACCUGUUCUAGAAGGAGACGCUGAGUUCUCCCCACUCUACCUGGAGCUGCUGAGGUCAAGUGGAGAGUGCCGGGGCUGAAGCCCAGCGAGCCCCUCCCUGUCACACCACACUGCACAUGUGACACCAAAGGUGGGGUUCACCUCUUUUCAGACUUUCUGCGGUUGCCCUCACAUGGGCUGUCUGGAGGUGCACCCUCACUCUUCCUGAGGACUGUGGUUCCUUCUCCAUCACUGGUUCAUUCUGCAUGGUGUGACCCACCACGGCUCUGGAGUCGGAUUUCCACCCAGGUCAUUCAGCUGAGACCUGCGCUUCCCAGGCCUACCCGUGACAUGUGCUCAGUUACCUGAGCUGCUGGUGGUCACUCAUGUGGCUAUAGCCUGCUGCCUGGAGGCCAGGCCUCCCGCUUCCCCUGCCUCCCCCUCUCCUCACCACAGCCUGUUGGGAUGGAACAGGACAGGGGUGAGACCGUGGUGCUUUCACACUCAGCCUCCAUGGACAUCCUGUCAUUCCCACCCGGGGAGGUCUGGUCCCCACCCUGGGUGUCCCAGCCUAGCUCCGCUACGAGUGUGAGGGCCCAGGGCAACCGCCUAGCCCUCAUCUGCCCCCUGCACUGCAUCCUCCCCACUCAUUCAUUCCACAGGCAUUUAUUGAGCAUCUACUGUGUGCCAGAUGCAAAGAAGACAGUGGGAUAACUGGGCAAGGAGCAUUCCAGGCAGAGGGAACAGCCAG
rnacentral:lncRNA from 10 species